rnacentral:lncRNA from 1 species
ACACACACUGAAAGUCAUACACACACCAAGAUAACUAAGGUAAAAGAUUGUUUUUGUUGUUCUUAGAAGGAAUGCCAGAAUCUUCAAUAGAAAGAGUUGGACUGUGGGCAGGAGAUAGGGAGUGAGGCCAAAGUACUAUUGUUCGAGUCCUUGCAGUUUUUCCUUUGUCCAUUCAAAUUGAGAAUAUUCCCAUUUUCUUACUGUUACCAUUGAUGUACGACAAAGUUUUCCAUUUUAAGUUAGGACUAAUCCAGCUUGUAUGUCAACCCUCCCCCAAAGC